rnacentral:lncRNA from 1 species
GGAAGACAUUCUGAAAAAGAGAGAAAGAGGUGAAGAGAUGCAGGUAUAGAGGGAAGAGAAAGAGAGGAGAGUAAGAUGCUGAUGAAAAGAGCAAGAGAGAGGAGGAUAAGGAAAGAGAUUCUGGCAGAGAGGAGAAACAGAUAAUGACAAAGAGCGUGACAUGAGAGGAGAGGUAAUUGAAAAGAGAGAUGGGAAGAUAGAGAGCGUCUGUGUAAAAAAACGACUCUCCCCUCUCUAUCUCCCUGGUCCUCCCCUCUCCCUACAUCUCUAUUCUCCCUCGCUCUCCUCUCCCUCCAGCCCUCUGCCUCCUCUCUUUUCCCACUUACUCCCUCCAUUCCUCCUCUCUACCUCUUCUCCCCCUAUCCUUCCUCUCCUCCCCUCCUGCCAUGCAGACAGACAGACGGUAAGGUUCACAGCAGCAGAAUCUAAUGGGACUCUGGCUGUGCGUCAGUCAAUAGCAGAGAAAGAAAGGGAAGGGAGCUUACAGUAUAAUCACUUGUUAAUAGUACACAGCUUUUAGCUGGAACACUCACAGACAGACAAAUAAUAAACACAGUGCUGUUAGGUUGAUAUAAACAGUGCUGUUAGGUUGAUAUAAACAGGAUGCUGUUAGGUUGAUAUAAACAGGAUGCUGUUAGGUUGAUAUAAACAGGAUGCUGUUAGGUUCAUAUAACAUAGUGCUGUUAGGUUGAUAUAAACAGGAUGCUGUUAGGUUGAUAUAAACAGGAUGCUGUUAG